GUAAAUGCACGUGACAUACAGGUUGUUUUAGCACAGUACCGUCUAACGGGCGUGCGCUAGAAGUUCUGCUGUCGCUUGCGCUUGAGGUGGAUGGCGUCGAGGAUGGGCUGCCGCUUGCGCGUGUAGAUAAUUAUCCUUUCGAACCCUGAAGUCAACUGAGAGAUCCAACGCCGUAAAUGCACGUGACAUACAGGUUGUUUUAGCACAGUAGAUCCAAGCACGUAGAUACAAGGUGGUUUAAGCACAGUACCGUCUAACGGGCGUUCGCUAGAAGUUCUGCUGCCGCUUGCGCUUGAGGUGUAUGGCGUCGAGGAUGGGCUGCCGCUUGCGCGUGUAGAUAAUUAUCCUUUCGAACCCUGAAGUCAACUGAGGGAUCCAAGCACGUAGAUACAGGGUGGUUUAAGCACAGUACCGUCUAACGGGCGUGCGCUAGAAGUUCUGCUGUCGCUUGCGCUUGAGGUGGAUGGGCUGCCGCUUGCGUGUGUAGAUAAUUAUCCUUUCGAAUCCUGAAGUCAACUGAGAGAUCCAACCACGCAAAUGCACGUAACAUACAGGUUGUUUUAGCACAGUACCGUCUACCGGGCGUGCGCUAGAAGUUCUGCUGCCGCUUGCGCUUGAGGUGGAUGGCGUCGAG